GAUGAAGAACGCGGCGAAAUGCGAUACGUAAUGUGAAUUGCAGAAUUCAGUGAAUCAUCGAGUCUUUGAACGCACAUUGCGCCCCCUGGUAUUCCGGGGGGCAUGCCUGUCCGAGCGUCAUUGCUGCCCUCAAGCACGGCUUGUGUGUUGGGCCUCCGUCCUCCUCCCGGGGGACGGGCCCGAAAGGCAGCGGCGGCACCGCGUCCGGUCCUCGAGCGUAUGGGGCUUCGUCACCCGCUCUUGUAGGCCCGGCCGGCGCUUGCCGACACAUCAAUCUUUUUUCCAGGUUGACCUCGGAUCAGGUAGGGAUACCCGCUGAACUUAAGCAUAUCAAUAAGCGGAGGA
rnacentral:misc_RNA from 1 species